AACGAACGCUGGCGGCAUGCCUAACACAUGCGAGUCGAACGAGACCUUCGCGUCUCGUGGCGCACGGGUGCGUAACGCGUGGGAACCUGCCCUUAGGUUCGGAAUAACUCCCUGAAAGGGGUGCUAAUACCGGAUAAUAUCUUCGGACCAAAGAUUUAUCGCCUUUGAAUGGGCCCGAGUUGGAUUAGCUAGUUUGUAGGGUAAAAGCCUACCAAGGCGACGAUCCGUAGCUGGUCUGAGAGGAUGAUCAGCCACACUGGGACUGAGACACGGCGCAGACUCCUACGGGAGGCAGGAGUGGGGAAUAUUGGACAAUGGGCGAAAGGAUGAUCCAGCAAGGCCGCGUGAGUGAUGAAGGCCUUAGGGUUGUAAAGCUCUUUUACCCGGGAUGAUAAUGACAGUACCGGGAGAAUAAGCACCGGCUAACUCCGUG
rnacentral:rRNA from 1 species